rnacentral:lncRNA from 1 species
CACCAAGAACCUGCCUCCAACAACUUGUUUCUUCUUCCCACCAGGCUUCAUCCUAGCACAGCAUCCCAAGCUGGAAACCACCCCUAAAGUCUAGGAUUCCUAACAACAGAAUCUGCUUGAACUGAAUGAAUGGAAUUCUGUUCCUUGAGGCUGAAGGAAUUUUGAGUCCAGCAGUUUCUUAGCCUUGUGUGUGAAAUCCAAGGCAUCCAUAAGACAACUCAAAGCAGCUGGGGCUGGAUCUGACAGACUUUGAAGUCAAAGUCACCCCACCAUGAGGGAAGGCCUCUAGGAGCUUUCUGAAAGUUUGCAUCUGGCAUGUCCUUGAGAAGUUCGUGUGUGGAUCUCUUGGUCUCCAGGACAGCAGUGUUCAGAGGGCAAGAUGCACGGUGGAGACAGGAAAAUCCUGUGAAGUUCACAGGCCAGCCACCCUGGCAGAGAUGAGGACAAACCACAAAGAGGACCUGUCUCCAGGUAAGGUGGAAGGCAAGGACCAGCACGUAAGAUUGUUCUCUGACCUCAGCACAUGCGGUGGCAUGCACAUGCGGUGGCAUGCACAUGCCAGCAUACACACACACACACAGGUGUUUUGUCAAAGGAACAGACAUUUGGCCAAUGUGCUUAGUUGUAGAGACCCAAGCCUGGGAUCAAGGUAUCAAGAGGGCUCCACUCCCACCAAGAACACAAAAGACAAGCUCUGUGCCUAUCUGGACGGCACAGGCAUCCCCUGGUUUUUGGAUGGAUCACUUCGGUCUCUCGGCAUCUUUACCUUGUCUCUUCUCAUCUCAUCUUGACCUCUUCCGUCUCCCAUCAGAAGAUUUGUGAUUGUCCCACUUGGUUAAUCACGGAUGAUCUAAUUUAGGGUUUCUACCAUUAAUUCUGUCUACAAAGAUCUCCAUUCCAAAUAAGAGCUCACAAGUUUGGAGCCUUAGUAUGUUUAUUUUGUGGGAGGAUCCGCACGCACACAGCUCACUGGAGGGAGAUGACCGGUGGCUGGUUUUCGAUAGAGGGAGGUUGGCUGUCCACGACGUCCAGCAAGUUGUGUUUGGGUGAACUGUAGAAGCAGCCCAGUGUGACUGCCGUGCUGUUGUCUCUUGUAAUGGGUUCAUACGGGAGGCUGUGAAGUAGUGGGAGGAGAAGAGGGGAAAGACUCUUCCCACUCAGUGCGCUCCAGCUUGCUUUGGAGCACACAGGUGUCAUUAAUUUAAUCCUGGAACUGUGGCUUUUUAAGGAGAAGCCAGCAUGGGAACUGUGGGCAUUCCUCUUCAGCCUGUCCCUUGGUUCCCAUAAACAUCAGCCUACAAGCCUUCAUUUUCCCUCAGCAAAUGUACAAGUGAUGGUGGGCAUGCUGCCCAGAUGUUGUGAAGGGAGCCACCGAGGGUGGUGUCAGCUGGUCUGGAAGGGUAUCCUCUCUAGGGAUGUACCAGGGGUAAGGGCACCGAGCUCUGGUCCUCAGCUGAUGCUAGGACCGAAGAAAACAAGUCCUCCAAGUGGUCUGUAUGUCAGCCCUGGUGGCCCUGGAUGGGCUGAGAGGACAAGGAGAGGAACCCCACCCCCCACUGUGCUUUCGUUUCCCCAGAACUCCGUGGGUGACCUUGCAGAUGUGCUUUGUCAACCCAGACACCUCAGUCUCUCUGCAGGACCCACAAAGGGAACCCCACUGGGCGCUCCUCUCCCCCUUCCUGUCCCACGUCUGUUUGUUACACAGUCUAUGAAGAACCUACUCAAGACGGUCCACACUGACUGCCCGAAACUGCUCCUUCCUCGCUCCCCGCUCCUGCCCUUGGUCCAUAAACUAAGAAAAUGCACUUUUCUACCCAACCUGGAGCGCAUCGGAUGCUGUGUCCACGGAGCCCGAGAUAACAGAGAAGAACAGGACUCGGGCUUUUGAUAAGAGCAAUGGUUCCGGAUUUUCUGAGGCAGUAACACUGAUGGUUGAUGGGCCUCUGGAGUCU